rnacentral:rRNA from 1 species
UACGAAGGGGGCUAGCGUUGCUCGGAAUCACUGGGCGUAAAGCGCACGUAGGCGGACUCUUAAGUCGGUGGUGAAAUCCUGGAGCUCAACUCCAGAACUGCCUUCGAUACUGGGAGUCUUGAGUCCGGGAGAGGUGAGUGGAACUGCGAGUGUAGAGGUGAAAUUCGUAGAUAUUCGCAAGAACACCAGUGGCGAAGGCGGCUCACUGGCCCGGUACUGACGCUGAGGUGCGAAAGCGUGGGGAGCAACAGG